rnacentral:rRNA from 1 species
UACGAAGGGGGCUAGCGUUGCUCGGAAUUACUGGGCGUAAAGGGAGCGUAGGCGGAUAGUUAAGUUGGGGGUGAAAGCCCGGGGCUCAACCUCGGAAUUGCCUUCAAUACUGGCUAUCUUGAGUAUGGGAGAGGUGUGCGGAACUCCGAGUGUAGAGGUGAAAUUCGUAGAUAUUCGGAAGAACACCAGUGGCGAAGGCGGCACACUGGCCCAUUACUGACGCUGAGGCUCGAAAGCGUGGGGAGCAAACAGG